GUUUCCUACGGGGGGCAGCAGUGAGGAAUAUUGGUCAAUGGGCGGAAGCCUGAACCAGCCAAGUCGCGUGAGGGAAUAAGGCCCUACGGGUCGUAAACCUCUUUUGCCGGGGAGCAAGGGCCGGGACGAGUCCCGGUCCGGAGAGUACCCGGAGAAAAAGCAUCGGCUAACUACGUGCCAGCAGCCGCGGUAAUACGUAGGUGGCAAGCGUUAUCCGGAUUUACUGGGUGUAAAGGGCGUGUAGGCGGGAGUGCAAGUCAGAUGUGAAAACUAUGGGCUCAACCCAUAGCCUGCAUUUGAAACUG
rnacentral:rRNA from 1 species